AACGAACGCUGGCGGCAUGCCUAACACAUGCAAGUCGAACGAGACCUUCGGGUCUAGUGGCGCACGGGUGCGUAACGCGUGGGAACCUGCCCUUAGGUUCGGAAUAACUCCCCGAAAGGGGUGCUAAUACCGGAUAAUGUCUUCGGCCCAACGAUUUAUCGCCUUUGGAUGGGCCCGCGUUGGAUUCGCUAGUUGGUAGGGUAAAAGCCUACCAAGGCGACGAUCCAUAGCUGGUCUGAGAGGAUGAUCAGCCACACUGGGAGUGAGACACGGCCCAGACUCCACGGGAGGCAGCAGUGGGGAAUAUUGGACAAUGGGCGAAAGCCUGAACCAGCAAUGCCGCGUGAGUGAUGAAGGCCUUAGGGUUGUAAAGCUCUUUUACCCGGGAUGAUAAUGACAGUACCGGGAGAAUAAGCACCGGCUAACUCCGUG
rnacentral:rRNA from 1 species